UCCAGACUCCUACGGGAGGCAGCAGUGAGGAAUAUUGGUCAAUGGGCGAGAGCCUGAACCAGCCAAGUCGCGUGAGGGAAGACGGUCCUAUGGAUUGUAAACCUCUUUAGGCGGGGAGCAAUGCCGGGCACGCGUGUCCGGAGGGAGAGUACCCGCAGAAUAAGCAUCGGCUAACUCCGUGCCAGCAGCCGCGGUAAUACGGAGGAUGCGAGCGUUAUCCGGAUUUAUUGGGUUUAAAGGGUGCGUAGGCGGAUUUUUAAGUCAGCGGUAAAAUGUCCGGGCUCAACCCGGGCCGGCCGUUGAAACUGGGGAUCUUGAGUGGGCGAGAAGUAUGCGGAAUGCGUGGUGUAGCGGUGAAAUGCAUAGAUAUCACGCAGAACUCCGAUUGCGAAGGCAGCAUACCGGCGCCCGACUGACGCUGAGGCACGAAAGCGUGGGGAUCGAACAGGAUUAGAUACCCGCGUAA
rnacentral:rRNA from 1 species